rnacentral:rRNA from 1 species
GACGAACGCUGGCGGCGUGCUUAACACAUGCAAGUCGAACGGAAAGGCCCUGCUUUUGUGGGGUGCUCGAGUGGCGAACGGGUGAGUAACACGUGAGUAACCUGCCCUGGACUUUGGGAUAACUUCAGGAAACUGGGGCUAAUACCGGAUAGGAGCUCCUGCUGCAUGGUGGGGGUUGGAAAGUUUCGGCGGUUGGGGAUGGACUCGCGGCUUAUCAGCUUGUUGGUGGGGUAGUGGCUUACCAAGGCUUUGACGGGUAGCCGGCCUGAGAGGGUGACCGGCCACCAUGGGCCUGCGAUAGGGCGCAGACUCCUACGGGAGGCAGCAGUGGGGAAUAUUGCACAAUGGGCGGAAGCGUGAUACAGCAACGCCGCGUGCGGGAUGACGGCCUGCGGGUUGUAAACCGCUUUCGCCUGUGACGAAGCGUGAGUGACGGUAACGGGUAAAGAAGCACCGGCUAACUACGUG